rnacentral:rRNA from 1 species
UACGAAGGGUGCAAGCGUUACUCGGAAUUACUGGGCGUAAAGCGCGCGUAGGCGGAUUUGCAAGUCGGGGGUGAAAGCCCGAGGCUCAACCUCGGAACUGCCCUCGAUACUGCAAAUCUCGAGUCCGAGAGAGGUGAGUGGAAUUCCUAGUGUAGAGGUGAAAUUCGUAGAUAUUAGGAAGAACACCAGUGGCGAAGGCGGCUCACUGGCUCGGUACUGACGCUGAGGCGCGAAAGCGUGGGGAGCAAACAGG